ACUCAGUUUCAUGUUGUAUGCAUCCAACAUGAACACCCUCGGGUGAGAAUAAACAAAACCUUGAGUCCACCUCUAACAUCCGUCUUAGAGGUUUACCAACUUGACCCAAUCGAUCCAACUUUCGCCACCGUAUAGGUUCACGUCACUCACGCACCUAUAACCUUAGGGUUCACCGUCCUAGGGUCUCCUAGGUCCAUCCUAAACUCUCUCUUUACUUGCUCUUAAUUGCUCUGAUACCACUUUAUCUGUCACGCCCCGAGACCGCUACCAAUUUGGUCCGGCCCGGGCGCGUCGAACAGACGCCGAACGGACAGGACCUCCCCUGUCCGCCCAAGGCUAACCAACAGAUCAUGUAUAAGAAUUUACCCAGGAAUUAAUUCAUGAAUACACGAUCAAGAAGCACCACCAGUGCAACAAGACGAGAGCAAGAUACAAGUAUAAAAACAUAUACAAGUACAUAAAGAGAGAAGAGGCGAUCUAUUACAUUCAUUCAGCCUUUAUAAUACAAUUUGAUUAUACAUUAAGUUUCUAAACAUAAUAUAAAGCUUACAUCUUCCAAAAGAUAAACAUUAGCUUACAUUCAUUCCAGAAUAUCUCACAUCCUAUACAUCAUCUACUCUCAAUGCAUAUAAAGGUGACUCUAAUGCAGAAAUAGGAAAGUAAACUAAUGCAACUAGGGCGCUAGGCCCUUACCGCGAUCCUCGCCGUGUGAACUCGCGCUCGGCCCUGUAGUAAAANNNNNNNNNNNNNNAGACCGUUUCUUCACUCCACUCUCCUUGAACGCCUCGCGUUCCUGUCUCACUUCCCCAGCUGCCGCAUCGAGUAUCGUAGGACCCGAAGCCGCCAGAGGGACGCUAGCCGGCAGGGGAUGCGUCACCGCCGGAGUCACCAAAAUGCUCACGCCCUCAGGCGCAUCAGGCGCGCGAGCGGAGGGCGCGGGCGGACCAUGGCCUUCAGUUGUCGUCUCGGCCGCCGUCGCCACUUGUCGCUCCAAAAGUUCUUGGAGCCGCUCGAUCUGACUUCCUUGGCGUUGAAUCACGCCGAUAAGCAUAGUCAUCUGCGCUCAUAAUUCUUGCACUUCACUUGACCCAGCUCGCUCAGGCACCUCGGGAGGCGGUGCCGAAACGGUUCUACGCGCGUAGUGUCUCCUUGGUGCCAUUAGCUCCUGAAACACAACGACUCGGUUAAUUACCUUAACCUGCUAACCUCGUCGCAACUAUUAGACGACGCGACUCAAUCGGGCGAAAGUCAUACAAGGGUGCCUAUUCUCACCACUCAGUUUCAUGUUGUAUGCAUCCAACAUGAACACCCUCGGGUGAGAAUAAACAAAACCUUGAGUCCACCUCUAACAUCCGUCUUAGAGGUUUACCAACUUGACCCAAUCGAUCCAACUUUCGCCACCGUAUAGGUUCACGUCACUCACGCACCUAUAACCUUAGGGUUCACCGUCCUAGGGUCUCCUAGGUCCAUCCUAAACUCUCUCUUUACUUGCUCUUAAUUGCUCUGAUACCACUUUAUCUGUCACGCCCCGCGACCGCUACCAAUUUGGCUCGGCCCGGGCGCGUCGAACAGACGCCGGACGGACAGCACCUCCCCUGUCCGCCCAAGGCUAACAACGAGAUUGUGUACAACAAGUUCCCAGGAAAAUAACUUGAAUACAUACACAAUCGAUAACUACAACGAGAGCACAAUCAGUGCAAAACAACCAAGAGCAAGAUACAAGUAUAGAACAUACAAGUAAUGAUAAAGAGAGGAACAUCUAUCUAUUACAUUCAUUCAGCCUUUAUAAUACAACUUGAUUAUACAUUAAGCUUCUAAACAUAAUAUAAAGCUUACAUCUUCCAAAAUAUAAACAUUAGCUUACAUUCAUUCCAGAAUAUCUCACAACCUAUACAUCAUCUACUCUCAAUGUAUAUAAAGGUAACUCUAAUGCAGAAAUAGGAAAGUAAACUAAUGCAACUAGGGCGCUAGGCCCUUACCGCGAUCCUCGCCGUGUGAACUCGCGCUCGGCCCUGUAGUAAAAUGGGGGUGAGAACUAACUUCCUUAGUUCCCAGUGGGUUCGGCCGCCGACUCCGCCGAUCUCCCCACUAGGUCCAAGUUGGGCACAAGUAGAUAAUCGAUAGAUAGAUAGAUAAGGAAAGCGGUAAAUGACAGCAGUAAAGCUACGCUACUAUGCCCAAUCAUAAAUAUAUGAAUGCAUGUACAAUGAAAUGGAUAAACAACAAUCCCAUUAUCAUGUCCAAAGGUAAAGUUAUUUACUCGUUCACCAAUCUCAUUUACUUGUUUCUCAAUCUCGUGGCUUCCCUGAAGGAGCCUACUGCUCACUAGCCAUCUCGAAGGUAGGGAGAGUCAACUCGCACUACGAACCGAGACCGUCUGGCGGGCCCAAAAUAGGCAAUCCCUUGGGACCCGAAAUCGGCAAUCCCACGUGACCAACUCCGGAGCGCACUACUUGUGUGGGGCUUCCAUCACAAGAUUUAAAAACAGACCGUGAGCAUGAUCCAAUCCUCGUCUCGAGAAUACCCUAUCCUCUAGGGUUACAACCAUCAUAUAGUCCAUAGGUUUCAUAUACACUAUGACUCAUAGGUGUCACUUGUUCUUUUGUUUACUAUCAACUAGAUGCCACUCGUUCUUUACAAGUUUCCAAUGCAAUAGCCAAUGCAUUAUUAAAUUCCCAUCCACACUUAUCAUCUCAUUAUAGGGUUCCACAUCACAUAUAUAAACCUCAAGCAUGCUAGAUAUAAGUACUAAGCCAAAUACAUUAUUCUACCAAAGAACAUGCAAGGUAUAGGACCAAACCAUCAUUUAUCACCCUAUAAUGCAAGAUGUCAAUAUGCAAUUUGAUCAAUAUAAAACUUAGACAUAAAAGGGAGCCCGGUUGCUUCGGGAUGGACACCAC
rnacentral:lncRNA from 1 species